rnacentral:rRNA from 2 species
UAUGAGGAAAAGAAACCAACAGGGAUUGCCUCAGUAACGGCGAGUGAAGCGGCAAAAGCUCAAAUUUGAAAUCCCCCGGGAACUGUAAUUUUGAAGAGAUUUGGGUCCGGCCGGCGGGGGUUAAGUCCACUGGAAAGUGGCGCCACAGAGGGUGACAGCCCCGUGAACCCCUUCAACGCCCUCAUCCCAGAUCUCCAAGAGUCGAGUUGUUUGGGAAUGCAGCUCUAAGUGGGUGGUAAAUUCCAUCUAAAGCUAAAUACCGGCGAGAGACCGAUAGCGAACAAGUACAGUGAUGGAAAGAUGAAAAGCACUUUGAAAAGAGAGUGAAAAAGUACGUGAAAUUGUUGAAAGGGAAGGGCUUGCAGCAGACACUUAACUGGGCCAGCAUCGGGGCGGCGGGAAACAAAACCACCGGGGAAUGUACCUUUCGAGGAUUAUAACCCCGGUCUCUAUUUCCUUGUUGCCCCGAGGCCUGCAAUCUAAGGAUGCUGGCGUAAUGGUUGCAAGUCGCCCGUUGA